CAGUCGCCGCGGGAAAACGUAGGUGGCAAGCGUUGUCCGGAGUUAUUGGGCGUAAAGGGCUCGCAGGCGGUCUCUUAAGUCUGAUGUGAAAGCCACCGGCUCAACCAGGGAGGGUCAUUGGAAACUGGGAAACUUGAGUGCAGAAGAGGAGAGUGGAAUUCCACGUGUAGCGGUGAAAUGCGUAGAGAUGUGGAGGAACACCAGUGGCGAAGGCGACUCUCUGGUCUGUAACUGACGCUGAGGAGCGAAAGCGUGGGGAGCGGACAGGAUUAGAUACCCCUGUAGUCCCUGUCUCUUAUAC
rnacentral:rRNA from 1 species